CGCCUUGGCCAAUCGCAGUUCCUUCGGUGAGAUAGUGGAAGCCAGUGUCAUUGAACGCUUUUACUGCUUAAAAAAAUGAAUUAAAUACUAUUUUUAAGUAAGUGCCAGUAUCAAGUUCUUCUCAUUAAAGCACAGAAACUGGAAGCGAACAAGCAUUUCAGCUGAGUGCCUGUUCACCAUCUACAAGAAACAAGUCAGAAGUGU